CAAAAGUGCAACUCUAGAAGCAAUGGAUGUUUCUUCACAGUAGAUCCAUUGCUUCUAGAGUUGCACUUUUG
rnacentral:pre_miRNA from 1 species